AUUGAACGCUGGCGGCAUGCUUUACACAUGCAAGUCGAACGGUAACAGGCCUUCGGGUGCUGACGAGUGGCGAACGGGUGAGUAAUGCAUCGGAACGUGCCCAGAGGUGGGGGAUAACGCAGCGAAAGCUGUGCUAAUACCGCAUGUGAUCUGAGGAUGAAAGCGGGGGACCAGGCAGCAAUGUUUGGCCUCGCGCCUUUGGAGCGGCCGAUGUCAGAUUAGGUAGUUGGUGGGGUAAAGGCCUACCAAGCCGACGAUCUGUAGCUGGUCUGAGAGGACGACCAGCCACACUGGGACUGAGACACGGCCCAGACUCCUACGGGAGGCAGCAGUGGGGAAUUUUGGACAAUGGGCGCAAGCCUGAACCAGCAAUGCCGCGUGCGGGAAGAAGGCCUUCGGGUUGUAAACCGCUUUUGUACGGAACGAAAAGGCUCUGGCUAAUACCUGGGGCUGAUGACGGUACCGUAAGAAUAAGCACCGGCUAACUACGUG
rnacentral:rRNA from 1 species